UACGAAGGGGGCUAGCGUUGUUCGGAAUUACUGGGCGUAAAGGGCGCGUAGGCGGCUCUGUGCGUCGUGCGUGAAAGGCCUGGGCUCAACCCGGGAAUGGCGCUCGAUACGACGGAGCUAGAGUGCAGGAGAGGAUGGUGGAAUUCCCAGUGUAGAGGUGAAAUUCGUAGAUAUUGGGAAGAACACCGGUGGCGAAGGCGGCCAUCUGGACUGCAACUGACGCUGAGGCGCGAAAGCGUGGGGAGCAAACAGGAUUAGAUACCCUGGUAGUCCACGCUGUAAACGAUGUGCGCUAGACGUUGGUGGACCUAGUUCACCGGUGUCGCAGCUAACGCAUUAAGCGCACCGCCUGGGGAGUACGGCCGCAAGGUUAAA
rnacentral:rRNA from 1 species